GACGAACGCUGCCGGCGUGCUUAACACAUGCAAGUCGAACGGAAAGGCCCUGCUUUUGUGGGGUGCUCGAGUGGCGAACGGGUGAGUAACACGUGAGUAACCUGCCCUUGACUUUGGGAUAACUUCAGGAAACUGGGGCUAAUACCGGAUAGGAGCUCCUGCUGCAUGGUGGGGGUUGGAAAGUUUCGGCGGUUGGGGAUGGACUCGCGGCUUAUCAGCUUGUUGGUGGGGUAGUGGCUUACCAAGGCUUUGACGGGUAGCCGGCCUGAGAGGGUGACCGGCCACAUUGGGACUGAGAUACGGCCCAGACUCCUACGGGAGGCAGCAGUGGGGAAUAUUGCACAAUGGGCGGAAGCCUGAUGCAGCAACGCCGCGUGCGGGAUGACGGCCUUCGGGUUGUAAACCGCUUUCGCCUGUGACGAAGCGUGAGUGACGGUAAUGGGUAAAGAAGCACCGGCUAACUACGUGCCAGCAGCCGCGGUGAUACGUAGGGUGCGAGCGUUGUCCGGAUUUAUUGGGCGUAAAGGGCUCGUAGGUGGUUGAUCGCGUCGGAAGUGUAAUCUUGGGGCUUAACCCUGAGCGUGCUUUCGAUACGGGUUGACUUGAGGAAGGUAGGGGAGAAUGGAAUUCCUGGUGGAGCGGUGGAAUGCGCAGAUAUCAGGAGGAACACCAGUGGCGAAGGCGGUUCUCUGGGCCUUUCCUGACACUGAGGAGCGAAAGCGUGGGGAGCGAACAGGCUUAGAUACCCUGGUAGUCCACGCUGUAAACGGUGGGUACUAGGUGUGGGGUCCAUUCCACGGGUUCCGUGCCGUAGCUAACGCUUUAAGUACCCCGCCUGGGGAGUACGGCCGCAAGGCUAAAACUCAAAGGAAUUGACGGGGCCCCGCACAAGCGGCGGAGCAUGCGGAUUAAUUCGAUGCAACGCGUAGAACCUUACCUGGGUUUGACAUGGAUCGGGAGCGCUCAGAGAUGGGUGUGCCUCUUUUGGGGUCGGUUCACAGGUGGUGCAUGGCUGUCGUCAGCUCGUGUCGUGAGAUGUUGGGUUAAGUCCCGCAACGAGCGCAACCCUUGUUCACUGUUGCCAGCACGUUAUGGUGGGGACUCAGUGGAGACCGCCGGGGUCAACUCGGAGGAAGGUGGGGAUGACGUCAAGUCAUCAUGCCCCUUAUGUCCAGGGCUUCACGCAUGCUACAAUGGCUGGUACAGAGAGUGGCGAGCCUGUGAGGGUGAGCGAAUCUCGGAAAGCCGGUCUCAGUUCGGAUUGGGGUCUGCAACUCGACCUCAUGAAGUCGGAGUCGCUAGUAAUCGCAGAUCAGCAACGCUGCGGUGAAUACGUUCCCGGG
rnacentral:rRNA from 1 species